UACGAAGGGGGCUAGCGUUGCUCGGAAUCACUGGGCGUAAAGGGUGCGUAGGCGGGUUCUUAAGUCAGAGGUGAAAUCCUGGAGCUCAACUCCAGAACUGCCUUUGAUACUGCGGGUCUCGAGUCCGGGAGAGGUGAGUGGAAUUCCUAGUGUAGAGGUGGAAUUCGUAGAUAUUAGGAAGAACACCAGUGGCGAAGGCGGCUCACUGGCCCGGUACUGACGCUGAGACGCGAAAGCGUGGGGAGCGAACAGG
rnacentral:rRNA from 1 species